GACAGAGGAUGCAAGCGUUAUCCGGAAUGAUUGGGCGUAAAGCGUCUGUAGGUGGCUUUUUAAGUCCGCCGUCAAAUCCCAGGGCUCAACCCUGGACAGGCGGUGGAAACUACCAAGCUGGAGUACGGUAGGGGCAGAGGGAAUUUCCGGUGGAGCGGGUGAAAUGCGUAGAGAUCGGGAGGAACACCGAUGGCGAAGGCAGGUCUCUGGGCAUUAACUGACGCUGAGGAGCGAAAGCAUGGGGAGCGAACAGG
rnacentral:rRNA from 1 species